GAGUGGCCCAGCGGUAAUCCUACUGUGCAGACCUUAAAGAUUCGACCGAAACAACACAACAACUCAGACUGUGGCAUUUUUGUAUGCAAGUAUGCUGACUAUUUCGUUAGGGCCAGUGGUAAUAUUUCUGAAGAGAAGUGGUCCUUGGAAGAUGUCACAGUCUUUCGUUACCGCGUCGCAUGGGAGCUCUACAAGAAAUCUGCAAGAUUACUUCCAGCCUCUGAGAUAUUGAACUUAUCCAACGUUAUCUAAUGUAUAUAUUAAUUAAUAAGAAUGUCUAUUUGGUUGAACUUUAUGGGAUUUUCAAAUUCAUAACUUA
rnacentral:lncRNA from 1 species